rnacentral:piRNA from 1 species
UCNGAGCGUGCCUGACGGAGUCCUCUAAG